AUCGUCCAUUUAUUAAAGAGAGGCAGAAAUGAUCCUGAGCCUAAACUAUUUAUUCUUCCUUGUACUCCUUGCAGGUGUACAGUCUGAGGUCCAGUUAGUGGAGUCUGGAGGGGAUGUGAGAAGACCUGGAGAGUCCCUCCGUCUCUCCUGCCAAGCCUCUGGAUUCAGCUUCAGCAGCUACUGGAUGGGCUCGGUGAGACAAGCUCCAGGGAAAGGACUGGAAUGGGUGGCUUUGAUAACUGCUGGUUCAAGUACUUACUACUCAGACAAAGUCAAGGGCCGCUUCACCAACUCCAAGGACGAUGCCAAAAGCCAGCUGUAUCUGCAAAUGAACAGCCUCAAACCAGAGGACAUAUUACUGUCCGAGAGACACAGUGAGAGGAAGUGAAUCUGAAGCCUGUCA